GAAAAGUUGACCCUUUCAGGAAAAGUUCGCCAUCAUUUUCUGAAUUUGCUAUUUAAUAUUCUAAUCAAAAUACUUAGUCAUCGUCAUGAUUUUUAGCUUUUAUACUGUGCAACGCUACGUUUACAUUCCAGGAUCAGAGGAUUUAUACCCUGUGUUCAGAAUCACUGGAAUUGCACAGUCUGGCUUUUGUAGCUCGUGCCUAAAUAAAUGUGUCAUUCUUCCGAGAGCAUUGGAAGCACGGCAGGAGGCCACGUCAAGGGAUUUUUCUUUAUACUCCCAACACGCUCUACCUUCAGCUCACUGCCGAGGAAGGAGGGAAGCAGCCAAAAGGAAUCACAGCUGCCUUGUUCUUCCCCUUUACUUCUGUGUCAUCUUUCUGCAGCAUGAGCGGUCCUGCCGUAAGUAACACAAGAAGGACACAAGAUAGGACAGGGUUCUGUGACAUCUGGGUUUCUUAGAAGCAACUAGUAGUUCCAGGAGAAAGCACGGCCACACUGGUGGCCAUUCGUGGCCACUGUGAGUCCAUCUGUCUUCCGUGCUCCUAGGGCACCGUGACUGGGGCAUCUAGGGAAGCAGCCAGCAACUGUCAGGAAUGCAGGCGCUACACAGCUCCUCUGAGCAUGAAGAUGUUUCAUCUCCCGCUGAAUUGCACUUUCAAAACCAAGUCCAAAGUUUCAGUUUUCAGCAUUUCAAGACAGAGGCAGCCACACCGGGAACCAAGCAGCACAUGACAGAACACAGUUGGUGACAGCAGACUUCAGGAGAUGUUUCCCAUCUUAAAUAUUGGGCCUGACCCACCCUUCUGCCUGAAGCAACUCCAUCAACAACAGGAGACAAAACAUACGAAGCCCUGCAUCUCAGGACAUUAGACACUGCACAACAAAUCCCCUCUAAGAAGGGAAACAGAGGGUUGUACCCUGGGAGCACCUCAGAACAGUCAAGUACGACUGAUAACCAGACAAGUCAAUGAGAUGGACACCCUCUCUGCACAGGGAAUAAUAGAGAUGAAUGUAACAUUACCAUAGAAAGACACAUAAUGCUCAGGAAAAGUAAAAUAUCAGGUCUGUUCAAGUAAAAAUCCAUAGAUGGAAAUAAUUUUCAACGGUUCUGUAGAGCAAGAAAAUAGGGGUGGGAGAGAAGAAAAGGAGAUUAGCAGGGCAGGAUUCGUUUUUGUGACGAAACAACUGUGGGACACCAGUAACCUUCACUAUCGGAAAGAAAGCAAAGGAACUUCCCAAAGUCCAGAUACAAGACGAUCUAGUUUUACCAAAAAAGAAAAAAAAAAAAAAAAAGAAAGCUUGGUCUCAAUCAACAUGAAAUGCUGAACAUAUCAUAUUGAAACAUGUGUUUAUAUAAUUGUUAUUCAUAUAUAACUUACAAAUUCUAUAUAUGAUCUCAAUCAACAUUAAGCAGUAAAUAUCUCAGCAAUAUAUAGGUAUUUGUGUAUAUAUACACAUGACAACAUGUAUAUAUAAACUACUUAUUACAUAUGAAAGUGUAUAAUGAUAACUGUAUAAAUGCUUAUAUAUUUGUAUUUUUGUAUUUUAUAUAUAUUUAACAACAAAAAAACAUAAAUCAUUUAUAUAUGGUCAUAUAUAUUGCAUAUUCAUAUAUAUAUAAACAGCUUGGUAAUAUGCCUCGUGGCCACCAUACCUUUAAAAGUCAUCUAAUCAAAACACAAACAGAAGCCAAUAGGAAAAAUACUUUGUGAAAAAUAUUCUAGCAAACCAAGAGAAUGAGCAAAAUAAGUCACUUGUAACUGAAGAAACUAUGUACAUGAAA